AAUUCGUGAUGUGGGCAGCAUCUCAAAAGGUCCUUAAACCUCUCCCAUGCAUCAUACAUGCUUUCAUCAUCAAACUGCACAAAAGAAGAUAUGUCAUUUCUAGGAAAAU
rfam:Ricinus communis cultivar Hale ctg_1100012357885, whole genome shotgun sequence.